UACAGGUACCGUAACUACAGGUCCGUAUCUGACGCUGGGGACGCUAAGCGGCGGAUGGGUGAGUAACAGUGGGGAACCUGCCCCAUAGUCUGGGAUACCACUUGGAAACAGGUGCUAAUACCGGAUAAGAAAGCAGAUCGCAUGAUCAGCUUAUAAAAGGCGGCGUAAGCUGUCGCUAUGGGAUGGCCCCGCGGUGCAUUAGCUAGUUGGUAAGGUAACGGCUUACCAAGGCAAUGAUGCAUAGCCGAGUUGAGAGACUGAUCGGCCACAUUGGGACUGAGACACGGCCCAAACUCCUACGGGAGGCAGCAGUAGGGAAUCUUCCACAAUGGACGCAAGUCUGAUGGAGCAACGCCGCGUGAGUGAAGAAGGUUUUCGGAUCGUAAAGCUCUGUUGUUGGUGAAGAAGGAUAGAGGUAGUAACUGGCCUUUAUUUGACGGUAAUCAACCAGAAAGUCACGGCUAACUACGUGCCAGCAGCCGCGGUAAUACGUAGGUGGCAAGCGUUGUCCGGAUUUAUUGGGCGUAAAGCGAGCGCAGGCGGAAGAAUAAGUCUGAUGUGAAAGCCCUCGGCUUAACCGAGGAACUGCAUCGGAAACUGUUUUUCUUGAGUGCAGAAGAGGAGAGUGGAAUUCCAUGUGUAGCGGUGGAAUGCGUAGAUAUAUGGAAGAACACCAGUGGCGAAGGCGACUCUCUGGUCUGCAACUGACGCUGAGGCUCGAAAGCAUGGGUAGCGAACAGGAUUAGAUACCCUGGUAGUCCAUGCCGUAAACGAUGAGUGCUAAGUGUUGGGAGGUUUCCGCCUCUCAGUGCUGCAGCUAACGCAUUAAGCACUCCGCCUGGGGAGUACGACCGCAAGGUUGAAACUCAAAGGAAUUGACGGGGGCCCGCACAAGCGGUGGACAUGUGGUUUAAUUCGAAGCAACGCGAAAUUACCAGGUCUUGACUCUAGUGCCUCCUAAGAUUAGUU
rnacentral:rRNA from 1 species